CCAACGUCCAGGAGCAUCCCAUGUCCUCAGAGGGCCAGAACCACUUCUAUCGCAACUACACAAAUGUGUACGCACCAAUAAUUGUUGACAGCGACUCUGAGCCGGAUGAAUAUGUGAUGCAGUUCCCUGAGCAAAGUACAGACAACGUGACUGCUGCAGACAUCAUUUCAGAGCUCUCGGCAAUGAUCACGUCAUCAUCUCUCAGCCGCUUUAACAUAAACAGAGC